rnacentral:rRNA from 1 species
GGAAGUAAAAGUCGUAACAAGGUCUCCGUUGGUGAACCAGCGGAGGGAUCAUUACCGAGUUCUCGAACUCCCAAACCCCUGUGAACAUACCCGUCGUUGCUUCGGCGGCCGCCCCCCGGGGCCGUCCGCCGGAGGCCUACAAACCCACUGUAUCUUGGUUACCGUAUACUCUGAGUGGCACAAGCAAAAAUAAAUCAAAACUUUCAACAACGGAUCUCUUGGUUCUGGCAUCGAUGAAGAACGCAGCGAAAUGCGAUAAGUAAUGCGAAUUGCAGAAUUCAGCGAGUCAUCGAAUCUUUGAACGCACAUUGCGCCCGCCAGCAUUCUGGCGGGCAUGCCUGUUCGAGCGUCACUUCAACCCUCGCGCCCAUCCGGGCAGCGGUGUUGGGGGCCGGCACUGACCCGCCGCCCCCGAAAUACAGUGGCGGCCCCGCUGCAGCCUCCCCUGCGUAGUAGCAACACCUCGCACCGGAGCUCGGCGGCGGCCACGCCGUAAAACCCCCGACCCCCCAUGAGUUUGACCUCGGAUCAGGUAGGACUACCCGCUGAACUUAAGCAUAUCAAUAAGCGGAGGA